rnacentral:lncRNA from 1 species
UCACUCUCCACAAAUAGAAGAGAAAAAGGGAACUUGAGGGACCAAACUCAAACUUGAAGGGCAAGUUAGAAAUUUUUUUGGUUCUUCAGAUUUUUGUAAAACAAGACCGUUUCAUUUUCUCCCCGACCUCGUCCUUCCCGGACAACAACUUCGUUUUUCUUCUCUGAGAAUCCUAUGCAAGUGUUUGUCGCCCAGGACCAAGAUUCCGAAGCAUAAACCCCAAACAAUGGACUCCUUGAUGUUAUCUUCAGCUGGUUAGCAGUUAUCUCCUUGUUGCAUAGAGGGAUUCUCUCAUUCUCUCCGUACUUGCUAUAUAUCACAGUAUUAUCCUUCAAAUCCUCUCCCCCCGUCCCUCUCACACGCACAAUUUGACAAAAACAAAGAUAGAGGAAGUCGUAGAAAAGUUUUCAAUUUACAGCAUUUUCAGGGACUUGGAUUUUUCUGAUUUUUGCACCAUCCGUUAUGGAAAGAAGUGACAAUUACAGGGACAAUCCUCACACGCCAGGGCACAUUGU